rnacentral:rRNA from 1 species
CCUACGGGAGGCAGCAGUGAGGAAUUUUCCGCAAUGGACGUAAGUCUGACGGAGCAACGCCGCGUGCAGGAAGGCGGCCCUCGGGUUGUAAACUGCUUUUAUCAGGGAAGAGAACGGACGGUACCUGGUGAAUAAGCCCCGGCUAACUACGUGCCAGCAGCCGCGGUAAU